GCCGGGGUGGCCGAGGGGUCAAGGCGCUGGGCUGCAGACCCAGUUUCACCCGGGUUCGAGUCCCGGCCCCGGCUCCA
rnacentral:tRNA from 1 species